GCCUAAAAUACCGAUUAAUUAAAUUAAUUAUGUAUACAUUACCGAAAUUUUAAUUCCUUCAGUUUUAAGGGUGGGCAGUCGGGCUGGUGGCAGGUUGGGCAGUUGUGAGUGUCUGUGUGAUGGUGAGGAAAGCGGAAGUUACGAAUGGAAUGCAGGUAGCUUAGGACCGAGGCAGACAGCUUAGGACUGAGGCAGGUAGGCAGUUGGUAGGAAUCAGUGGGGGGCACUUGUCAUUUCGGCCAUGGGAUUCAAAAUUUGCAUAUCGAGUAUUUGUUACUAAUGCUUGUUGUUUUACAUUUACCAGGUAUGCGCGUGGCUGCUCUCAAGAGAAAAUCGACUUAGCAAUUUGCAUUAUUUUGCAUUUGCAAGGUUGGUCUUCUCUUCGCUACCCCGGCUGGCUCUCCGAGUGCUACCUCUACUUUAAGUAGAAGCACUUCUACUAUAUAGUAGAAGUACUUCUGCUUGAAGUAGAAGCAGUACUUGGGGAGCCGGCCGGGGUAGGGGGAUUUUUUUUAUUUUUUUUUUUCAAUUCCCAUGGGAAUUGAAUUUUUAAUUAAAAAGGAGUCUCUUGUAUAAUUAAUGAACAAUUUAUUGAAAAGAAUUUGUAAAGUUUACAAUUUGAAUAACAAUAAAAAGAGAACAACCACUGCAUACUUAUUUAAAUAACAAUAGAAGAAAACAGAACAUGGCAUAAAGAGAACAAUUAACAUUGUAUUCAACACAAGUGAAUAAGCACAAGUGAAAACACAACAUUAAAAACUUGUUUGCCCGCAAAUUAACAUUAAAAAGUUAAUUCUUGAGGCAACAAGAGAACCUGGUCUUUUCAAGAUAAAUGUUUAUACUUCAAAUAUUGUAAAACAACUCUAAUGAUAAAUUUUACAAGUCUGACGGAGAAAUCCAAAGGCGUAUUAAAACACCACGUUGUUUUACCAAGAAAAUAUAUGGCUCAAAGACGAAGUAAAUCGAACAUGCUUUAUACUUUUUUUAAUACAACCAACAUUUCUUUCAAGUGCCAAAACAAGAAAUAUUUGAGAAUUUGAAAUUAUCUUGCAGUCUUUCGGAGCCAUAUAUCUUUGAGCGUCGUUUUUAGCCUGACAACUUUGAAUUGAUUAUACAUAAUGUUAAUACUAAUUCAAGUGAUGAAAAUGCAGUUCAACAAAAUUUUAAAAGAGGUUAUUUCUCCAAUUCGGAUUGAUUUUUCAAACAAAAUUCAGUUUCAAUUUGCUUUGCUUAAGAAAAUGGUACAUUUUUCGUCCUCAACAAAUAAUGAUAGACAUUGAUCUACUACUUUACAAACAAACAUCUCCUAACAACUUAGGGAAAAGUUGUCCUGUUUUAUAUUAUCUAUAUAUUUUAAAAAAUACUUCAGGAAAUAUUUUUGAUGUAAAACAUGUAGCGACCAUGUACAGAAACACCCCAAAAUAUGGUUUAUAACCAAACUUCCAAAUUUUCAUAAAAUAUUUUCUUAUUUUUUUUUCACUUUUAUUUAUAUUGGUCAAAAUAAAAAAUUUUCAAUUGGAAAAGAGCUUACGGUUUUGCAUAAUGAAAAACAGGAAAUAAGUUUUGGGUAUACUUUGCUAACUCAAAAGUAGACAAACAGUUUUGCUCAAAGUCCUCAAUGUUCAAUCAGUUUCCAUAAACAUCCUAAGAAUCUCUCUCUUAACUUGUAAACAAAAUAUUAUAUUGCAUUUUCAUCAAUUUCUAGUAUCAACAGCAAACCAAACACAAACAUCAAAAGACAUAUACAGUAGUAGCAGUUGUCAAUUCAACAUAUGAAAUUUCAUUGGAAGUCACAAAGAUUGAGUUUUCAUUAAUUUUGGGCAGCAUUCUUGUCAGGUUAAAACAGACCUUUUUGAAGUAUAAACUUACCUUUGCAUACUCGUUGAAAAGACCAUGUUCGAGUGCCAUGUAAACCUGUUUGCUUAUAUUAUUAUUAUGACUAAAUAUAACACACCAUUACAAAGUGGAACUAUUUGAAAAGAAUGUUGAACUGAAGCAAGAGAAAUAUAUGUAACA